CUAAACCCUUUCUCCACGUUUUCUUUAUUCAUCAAUAUCCCUACUCCCUAAAAUCUCUCCAACCACCAAAUCCAUCAAUAUCUAUCAUGUUUGGCUACAAUAAUCCCACGAACUCCCGUUGUUUCACAUCCAAAAUUCUGAGAGAAAAAUUCAAGAGAGAAGCCCUCUUCACUGCAGUUUCUUCCAUCCACCAAAAGAUUGAGAGUUCAACACCGAGAGUAGAAAGAAAACUGUGAAUUCAAGAUUCUGAAAUUACCUCCUGCAAUCAGAGGGUGAGCUUGUGCACGUUGUUUGCGUUGGGAACAGAAAGUGAUUGAGGAGUAAACUUUUGAGUCUCCCCUAUGGCUCCCUAUGUUACCUUGCUGAAGAAUCUUCAUACUGCCAUUACUAACUCUGUUGUCAAGGUCCGUUGUGUCCGUGUCUUUGGAGGUCUUCCUGAUGACAAUAGAGAUAUCAAUACAUAAUCUGUUUUUCAUGAUUCUAAGGACUGAGAUGUAUGAAGUCAGAGAUAAUGAAUUUCCACCCAUGGUGUUUUCAUUUAAACCAUUUGGUAAUAUAGCAAGUAAUGAGAAUGAUGACCAGACAUCCUUUUUUGAUAUCAUUGGGGUCAUUACUUCCCCUGGAAGUGUUGUCAAGCAAAGUAGAUACAUGUUGAUUGAAGUUGAAAUCAGUGACGAGCGGUAAGUUUCAUACUAAUUUUAAACCUUUAUGUUUCAUACUUAUUUUUAUUAUUCUCUUUUUGAAACUAACUCUGCUACUUUUUUAACAUCCAUAAUAAAAUUUUCUGUACAAUUUGGGAUUCCGAUGUGGAAUCUUAUCUGUCUCAAUUGACCAAGGCUGAAGGGAUUGUUCCUAUAAUCAUAGUGCAGUUUUGUAAGCCCAAUGUUUUCAGAGGUGAGGUUGGUGUGUCCACUCAUUAUCAAGCAUUCAAGAUUUUGAUAAUGCUGAUAUUGAUGUACUGAAGGAAUUUAGGAACAUGAUUAAACAUGAUGAUACUUUCCUUGAACAAGGGAUUGUGGAUCAAACUGGAGUAAGGGUUAGUAGAGAGUUUGAUGACCUUGAUGUCAAGUCUCUUGGUGAUGUUGUUUGUUUGGAGGUUUAGGUUUGUUGUGAACAUUGUUGAUGACUCAAGUAAUGCAUCUCUUUUGUUGUGGGAUAGAGAAGUGGUUCAACUAAUUGGAAAAAAGGGUCACUGACUUGAUAGGGAGUAAUAUGGAGAAUUCUGCUAUGGAGUAUGUUCCUAGGAAAAUUGAGGAGUUGCUAUUGGGUCAAGAAGUGUUGUUUAAGAUACAAAGCAGGAAUAGCAAGGAAUAAUACCGUAGAUAUCCAUAUACAGUUAACAAAAUUUGUAAUAUUCCAAAAGUUGUUGAGAAAUUUGUUCCUGAGAACAUUGCUUCACAAGUUCUGAAUACUGAUGUCAUACUGAUGCCAAGUUGGCUGAUUUACCCUUUGGAUCUGAUAUUGUAGAGGUUUCUGGCAAGGGUUUUGUCUCACCUGAUUUAUCAGUUUUUACUAAACAAAAUGAGAUUGAAUGGAUUACUGAAGAAAGUGUGAAGCGAUGCUAGGAAGAUGAGUUUGAUAGUUGUGAUGAUGUGUGUUUUGGUAAGAUCAAGAAGAAGAUGAAGAAAGUGAAUGUCAUUGAAAAUGAUGAUGAGGCAGGGCUCAGCUACACUCAGGAUUUAUUUGGUGCAGAUUAGCUUUGGAGAAUCCUAAGUGUUUAUCUGUUUUUUAUUUUUUGCUCAACUUUUUUGAACUUAUCAUAACUUUCAUUUUAGUUCUUUGGAGGUUUAGUUGAUGGUCUAUGUCACAUCAGUUAGCAGUUCUGGAUUUUGAUUUUUGUCAUUUACUAUUUUGGUAUUAGUAAACACCUCUAAGAUGAAUUUUUUUGUAAUGAUGGCUAAUGCCUUUUUUUAUUGAAUUAAUUAUUUGGCUUAA